rnacentral:lncRNA from 1 species
GAUUAAAAUAGGAAUCUGUUUUUUGAGGUGUGGAAUAGUUGGGAAGAACCUGCACAUCUGUGUCUGCCUCUUUCAGCACUUCACAAGAUGACUUGGGAGCAGGAGCUGUAAUAAAUCUUGAUUCAGUUUCUCCUUUAUUCACAUGGCGAUUAAUAUGUCCUAUCAUAUCAGUUCUUCGUGUAAUAGUUGCUGAACAGAUAAUACAGUGGUAAUGUGCUCCCGUCUUUGAAAACAUCUGAUCUGCAAUGAAGUUUGGCUUUGCUAUACGACAAGGUAAGUGGCAGAUACACAUUCUGUACCCUUCAAAUUCAACAGAAAUUUUCCAGUGCAGAUUCUGGAGAUGACGAUGGAGUUUAUGGCCAUAGCAGGCUUUAAAUUUCUCUUCAGGACACAAGGGACAAGGCUUCUUUUCAGCUUCAUUCAGGUCAGCUAGUCUCUCUAGAUCACCAAGUUGUCUUUGAAUGGAAAGGUGUUUCUCUCUUGGAUAAUCAGAUGAAACAUCCAAAAUGUUACUAUCGGAUUCCCUUAUGGAUUCAUGCUCUAUUCUUUCUUCUUCGGUUUCUACUUCUGAUUCACCAACUUUCACAGACAGGUUCUUGCUUUCCACUUUUUUACAGUCAACUUCGCCAUUAAGCGCUGCGGCCUCGCCGCCGCCCGCGGGACUUCCCCCAUUCUCCGCCUCCUCCUCGGCCUCCUGCAGCCGCUCCGCGGACAACCCAGCCUCCGCAGCGUCCUCUGCUGCCAUCUUCUGCGGCGGAAGAAGAGAGUUCGGACAGCGGACCGACCGCUUUCCCCGGCUGGGCGGGAGGCGGGCAGGAAGCGCGGCGCACCGCCUACAUUUCCCAGAGUACCGCGGUGCAAGGAGGGGAGAUGGGAGGAAAGGUUUUCUGUGCUGGAGCAGGGGGCGGGUAGGUAAUGUUAGGUGUCUGCGCCCGGGGAGUUCGCUUCGGCCGGGUGGAUGUGUGUGUUUGAAAGAUGUCCAAAAAGAGACUGAAGAAAAUAAAGGAAGACAAUUUGAAUGGCCAGGAUGACAAAGUAGGAUCAUCUGUAUUAUUAUACUUUUAAUCACAUCCCCGCAUGAAAGAGAGUGAAUUAUUUAGCAGUUUUGUGAUGGAAGAAUAAAAUGAAAUGCUCUUCACCAAGAGCAGCAGGAGGGUUGAUUGUUCACAUAGCUGCAAGUUCCAGCCAGGUUUUCAAGUCAAGGUCAUACUGACCUCUGAAGGGUACUUUGAGAGAGGGGGUGACCUGGAAAGAGAUCUACAGCUGAUGUUGGAGGAGACUGACUGCUCCCAGGAAGGCUCAACAGGGGACAAUGUGAUGAACAUUGAUCCUAGUCAUUGGGUGUAGAGCAUUGCAGAGCUCAGGAGCAGGUUGCAGCCUCACAGAGUUAACCUGGCGCUCCAGAGAAGUUUCUACCUGCCUGAAGAAAGAAAAAUAAUGUAGGAAAAGGAGUAUGUGCUGCACAGGAAGUUUUUCAGAGAGAGAAGCUCCAUUUUGGGUACAAAUCAGACCCUUUUUAUAUUGUUGAGAAAUAAGAGGAUAUAAAGCAUUACUGCUUUAAGUAACCAAUGGGUGGUGUUCUUUUGUCCUCUUCCUGAGGCAGUGGUGUUUCUUGUUUGAAGACAGUGAAGGAAAACAAAACUAAUUCUCAUGUCAAUUCCUACUUUGUCAGACAGUAAGUUGUUUACUUUUGUUUUGUCUUCAUCAAUGAUAUCUUCAGGGUGUCGGCUGUUUGUACGUCCCCAAGUCCCCAGCCCUAGUUCUCAGGCUGGCAGAUGUUUUAUUCUGUCUGUUCAACAGUCAUUUUAUGUUAAAUCUUUCUCAUUACAGCCAGGUUACAUCCAGAACUGCUUUCGUCACUCCAUACUUUGACCUGCAACUGCUUAUGUCUCAAUGAUAUAAAAAGGAUGUAUUUUUUACCCAAAAUAGAGCUGCUUUCUCUGAGAAACUUCCUAUGCUGCACAAUUUCUCUUUUUCCUUGUUAUUUUACUUUAUCCUAAAGCAGGUUGAAACUUUUCUGGAAUGUUACGUUGACUCUUAUAUAUGUACUCAUUUGCUGGUAAUAACUGUAACAGCUUUUUAUCUAUGUAUAUAAUGACAAUAUUAAUCACAGUAUUCUUGCUAAUAGUGACUUGUGUUGAUCUGUAAUAAAUAAACAGAAAACCUUAGAAGAAAGCCUCUUUGUCC